GUCCACGCCGUAAACGUUGGGCACUAGGUGUGGGUUCCAACCAACGGGAUCCGCGCCGUCGCUAACGCAUUAAGUGCCCCGCCUGGGGAGUACGGCCGCAAGGUUAAAACUCAAAGGAAUUGACGGGGCCCGCACAAGCAGCGGAGUGUGUUGCUUAAUUCGAUGCAACGCGAAGAACCUUACCUGGGCUUGACAUGUGGGGAAAAGCCGUAGAGAUACGGUGUCCUUCGGGGCCUCACACAGGUGGUGCAUGGCUGUCGU
rnacentral:rRNA from 1 species